UUACAUAUACCAAAAUCAGAUAAAUAUCUCUUCAAAGUUUAUUUUGAGAGUUUUUUCAAAAAUUGCACUUCAGACUGUUCAGGAUAGCAUAGGAGGUGAAUUAAAAAUAAUUGAUUUACUUACAAGAAAAGAUAUCACAAACAUUAAACACCCUUGUGGCAUUGAUUUGAAAGAUGCAUAUAGCUACAAACAUGACGCAACCAGUGUUCAUUUUUGGGUCAAAUGCUUACAGGCUAUGUCAUGUCCAAUAUUAUUUUACAAACAACAGGACAUACUAAUGGAUAUUCAUCCUGAAUUUAACAUUUAUGAUUUUUGUCUUAUUUUCAUGAAUGCUGUGCCAAAAUGAAAUGUUAAUUAAGUUUGGUAAAUCUUUUAUCGCAAUAGAUGGAACUCAUGAACUCAUUUCUUAUGACUUUGAACUUACGACAGUAUUAGUAAAAAAUGAAUUUAGGAAUGGAUUUCGUAAUGCUUUCUUAUUUUCAAAUAGAAAAGAUACCUACUUUUAUUUACCAAUUUUUUUUUAAAUACAUGUGUGUGAUGGUGUUAUAUGUACAGUUGAGUGUUUUCAUAUCAGACAUAACUGACACCUUUUACAAUGCCUGC
rnacentral:lncRNA from 1 species